GAUGAACGCUGGCGGCGUGCCUAAUACAUGCAAGUCGAGCGAACAGACGAGGGGCUUGCUCCUCUGACGUUAGCGGCGGACGGGUGAGUAACACGUGGAUAACCUACCUAUAAGACUGGGAUAACUUCGGGAAACCGGAGCUAAUACCGGAUAAUAUAUUGAACCGCAUGGUUCAAUAGUGAAAGACGGUUUUGCUGUCACUUAUAGAUGGAUCCGCGCCGCAUUAGCUAGUUGGUAAGGUAACGGCUUACCAAGGCAACGAUGCGUAGCCGACCUGAGAGGGUGAUCGGCCACACUGGAACUGAGACACGGUCCAGACUCCUACGGGAGGCAGCAGUAGGGAAUCUUCCGCAAUGGGCGAAAGCUUGACGGAGCAACGCCGCGUGAGUGAUGAAGGUCUUCGGAUCGUAAAACUCUGUUAUUAGGGAAGAACAAAUGUGUAAGUAACUAUGCACGUCUUGACGGUACCUAAUCAGAAAGCCACGGCUAACUACAUG
rnacentral:rRNA from 1 species